rnacentral:rRNA from 1 species
AAUGAACGCUGGCGGCAGGCCUAACACAUGCAAGUCGAACGAACCCUUCGGGGUGAGUGGCGCACGGGUGAGUAACACGUGGGAAUUUACACUUAGGUGCGGAAUAACAGUUGGAAACGACUGCUAAUACCGCAUAAUGACUCCGGUCCAAAGAUUUAUCGCCUAAGGAUAAGCCCGCGUCUGAUUAGGUAGUUGGUAGGGUAAUGGCCUACCAAGCCUACGAUCAGUAGCUGGUUUGAGAGGAUGAUCAGCCACACUGGGACUGAGACACGGCCCAG